AGUUAUUUAGCUUAUAUAAAGCAUCUAUUUUGAAAAUAGAAUAAAGAUUAUUUUUAAUAACUU
rnacentral:tRNA from 1 species